rnacentral:rRNA from 1 species
ACGGAGUUCUUAAGGAAUGCGGCUUCGGUCAAAUGACUUUUGAACUUAGUGGCGGACGGGUGAGUAACGCGUGAGCAACCUGCCUUUCAGAGGGGGAUAACAUUUGGAAACAGAUGCUAAUACCGCAUAAGAUUACAGUACCGCAUGAUACAGUGAUCAAAGGAGCAAUCCGCUGAAAGAUGGGCUCGCGUCCGAUUAGAUAGUUGGUGAGGUAACGGCUCACCAAGUCGACGAUCGGUAGCCGGACUGAGAGGUUGAACGGCCACAUUGGGACUGAGACACGGCCCAGACUCCUACGGGAGGCAGCAGUGGGGAAUAUUGCACAAUGGGCGAAAGCCUGAUGCAGCAACGCCGCGUGAGGGAAGACGGUUUUCGGAUUGUAAACCUCUGUUUUCGGUGACGAGCAAAUGACGGUAACCGAGUAGGAAGCCACGGCUAACUACGUGCCAGCAGCCGCGGUAAUACGUAGGUGGCAAGCGUUAUCCGGAAUUACUGGGUGUAAAGGGAGCGCAGGCGGGAUAGCAAGUCAGCUGUGAAAACUAUGGGCUCAACCCAUAAACUGCAGUUGAAACUGUUAUUCUUGAGUGGAGUAGAGGCAAGCGGAAUUCCGAGUGUAGCGGUGAAAUGCGUAGAUAUUCGGAGGAACACCAGUGGCGAAGGCGGCUUGCUGGGCUCUAACUGACGCUGAAGGCUCGAAAGUGU